CGGCCACAUUGGGACUGAGACACGGCCCAGACUCCUACGGGAGGCAGCAGUGGGGGAUAUUGCGCAAUGGGGGAAACCCUGACGCAGCAACGCCGCGUGAAGGAUGAAGGUUUUCGGAUUGUAAACUUCUUUUAUUUAGGACGAAGAAUGACGGUACUAAAUGAAUAAGCUCCGGCUAACUACGUGCCAGCAGCCGCGGUAAUACGUAGGGAGCAAGCGUUAUCCGGAUUUACUGGGUGUAAAGGGUGCGUAGGCGGCUUGGUAAGUCAGAUGUGAAAUGUAUGGGCUCAACCCAUGCACUGCAUUUGAAACUAUUGAGCUUGAGUGAAGUAGAGGUAGGCGGAAUUCCCUGUGUAGCGGUGAAAUGCGUAGAGAUAGGGAGGAACACCAGUGGCGAAGGCGGCCUACUGGGCUUUAACUGACGCUGAGGCACGAAAGCGUGGGUAGCAAACAGGAUUAGAUACCCUGGUAGUCCACGCUGUAAACGAUGAUUACUAGGUGUGGGGGGUCUGACCCCUUCCGUGCCGGAGUUAACACAAUAAGUAAUCCACCUGGGGAGUACGACCGCAAGGUUGAAACUCAAAGGAAUUGACGGGGGCCCGCACAAGCAGUGGAGUAUGUGGUUUAAUUCGACGCAACGCGAAGAACCUUACCAAGUCUUGACAUCCUGCGACGCACAUAGAAAUAUGUGUUUCCUUCGGGACGCAGAGACAGGUGGUGCAUGGUUGUCGUCAGCUCGUGUCGUGAGAUGUUGGGUUAAGU
rnacentral:rRNA from 1 species